UACAGAGGGUGCGAACGUUGCUCGGAAUUACUGGGCGUAAAGCGCAUGUAGGCGGAUCCAUAAGUCGGGCGUGAAAUCCCCAGGCUCAACCUGGGAACUGCGUUUGUGACUGCAAGGCUUGAGUAUCGGAGAGGUUGGCGGAAUUCCCAGUGUAGCAGUGAAAUGCGCAGAUAUUGGGAGGAACACCGAUGGCGUAAGCAGCCAACUGGACGAUUACUGACGCUGAGAUACGAAAGUAUGGGGAGCAAACAGG
rnacentral:rRNA from 1 species